rnacentral:rRNA from 1 species
AGUGGAUGGGGAGCAACCUAGUUGUGCGUGUGUAAAGGUAGUGCCAAGAAAAGCGGUGAUCAUGAUGAAAAUCAAUUCCCGGUACCCGAAACCGACACAGGUGGGCAAGUAGAGAAUACUAAGGGGCGCGAGGUAACUCUCUCCAAGGAACUCGGCAAAAUGACCCCGUAACUUAGGGAGAAGGGGUGCCACCGAGAGGUGGUCGCAGUGAAGAGGCCCAGGCGACUGUUUAGCAAAAACAUAGGUCUCUGCAAACUCGAAAGAGGAGGUAUAGGGGCUGACGCCUGCCCAGUGCCGGAAGGUUAAAGAAGUUGGUCAGUCUUAGGAUAAAGCUAGCGACUGAAGCCCCGGUGAACGGCGGCCGUAACUAUAACGGUCCUAAGGUAGCGAAAUUCCUUGUCGGGUAAGUUCCGACCCGCACGAAAGGCGUAACGAUCUGGGCGCUGUCUCGGAGAGAGGCUCGGCGAAAUAGGAUUGUCUGUGAAGAUACGGACUACCUGCAUUUGGACAGAAAGACCCUAUGAAGCUUUACUAUAGCUUGGAAUUGUGUUCUGGCUUCCUGUGCGCAGGAUAGGUGGGAGGCGAAGAAGGUAUUCUUGUGGGGAUACUGGAGCCAACGGUGAGAUACCACUCUCAGGAGGCUAGAAUUCUAACUUAAUUAAGGACAGUUUCAGGUGGGUAGUUUGACUGGGGCGGUCGCCUCCAAAAAGGUAACGGAGGCGUACAAAGGUUCCCUCAGACUGGUUGGAAAUCAGUCGCAGAGUGCAAAGGCAGAAGGGAGCUUGACUGCGAGAAGUACAGUUCGAGCAGGGUGGAAACACGGUCUUAGUGAUCCGACGGUGCUGUGUGGAAGGGCCGUCGCUCAACGGAUAAAAGUUACUCUAGGAUAACAGGCUGAUCUCCCCCAAGAGUUCACAUCGACGGGGAGGUUUGGCACCUCGAUGUCGGCUCAUCGCAACCUGGGGCGGAAGUACGUCCCAAGGGUUGGGCUGUUCGCCCAUUAAAGCGGUACGUGAGCUGGGUUCAGAACGUCGUGAGACAGUUCGGUCCAUAUCCGAUGUAGGCGUGAGAAUAUUGAGAGGAGCCUUCCUUAGUACGAGAGGACCGGGAAGGACGCACCGCUGGUGUACCUGUUAUGAUGCCAAUUGUAAACGCAGGGUAGCCAAGUGCGGAGAGGAUAACCGCUGAAAGCAUCUAAGUGGGAAGCCCACCUCAAGAUGAGUAUUCUGGUGUAAGGUCACGGGAAGACGACCCGUAAAUAGGCACGAGGUGGAAGUGCAGAGAUGUAUGAAGCCGAAGUGUACUAAUAGACCGUCGGCUUGACC